UACGGAGGGUGCAAGCGUUAUCCGGAAUUAUUGGGCGUAAAGCGCGCGCAGGCGGUCUCUUAAGUCUGAUGUGAAAGCCCACGGCUCAACCGUGGAGGGUCAUUGGAAACUGGAGGACUUGAGUGCAGAAGAGGAAAAUGGAAUUCCACGUGUAGCGGUGAAAUGCGUAGAGAUGUGGAGGAACACCAGUGGCGAAGGCGACUUUCUGGUCUGUAACUGACGCUGAGGAGCGAAAGCGUGGGGAGCGAACAGG
rnacentral:misc_RNA from 1 species